UGAUUGGUGCUUGCAUCAUGAUUUACAUUUGAGUGAGUGGCGAACUGGUGAGUAACACGUGGGAAACCUGCCCAGAAGCGGGGGAUAACACCUGGAAACAGAUGCUAAUACCGCAUAACAACUUGGACCGCAUGGUCCGAGUUUGAAAGAUGGCUUCGGCUAUCACUUUUGGAUGGUCCCGCGGCGUAUUAGCUAGAUGGUGGGGUAACGGCUCACCAUGGCAAUGAUACGUAGCCGACCUGAGAGGGUAAUCGGCCACAUUGGGACUGAGACACGGCCCAAACUCCUACGGGAGGCAGCAGUAGGGAAUCUUCCACAAUGGACGAAAGUCUGAUGGAGCAACGCCGCGUGAGUGAAGAAGGGUUUCGGCUCGUAAAACUCUGUUGUUAAAGAAGAACAUAUCUGAGAGUAACUGUUCAGGUAUUGACGGUAUUUAACCAGAAAGCCACGGCUAACUACGUGCCAGCAGCCGCGGUAAUACGUAGGUGGCAAGCGUUGUCCGGAUUUAUUGGGCGUAAAGCGAGCGCAGGCGGUUUUUUAAGUCUGAUGUGAAAGCCUUCGGCUCAACCGAAGAAGUGCAUCGGAAACUGGGAAACUUGAGUGCAGAAGAGGACAGUGGAACUCCAUGUGUAGCGGUGAAAUGCGUAGAUAUAUGGGAAGAACACCAGUGGCGAAAGCGGCUGUCUGGUCUGUAACUGACGCUGAGGCUCGAAAGUAUGGGUAGCAAACAGGAUUAGAUACCCUGGUAGUCCAUACCGUAAACGAUGAAUGCUAAGUGUUGGGAGGGUUUCCGCCCUUCAGUGCUGC
rnacentral:rRNA from 1 species